GGAAGCACGCCAAAGAUGGAGAGUUGGAGCUGACUGUAAAUCAGUUGCCUUCGGGCUGAGUAGGUUCGAAUCCUACUGCUUCCACCA
rnacentral:tRNA from 1 species